GGGUGAUUAGCUCAGCUGGGAGAGCACCUCCCUUACAAGGAGGGGGUCGGCGUUCGAUCCCGUCAUCACCCACCA
rnacentral:tRNA from 1 species